AUAAACCGCUUAUCCCACAGAUUUUGCUGCAGGCCUGCAAUAUCCUCGAAUAUCCACGUCGGAACAUGGUGGAAUAGGUACACGAUCGUCUCGGUUUUGAUCCUAGGGUUCUCCAUUCCGUCCUGUGAUCGUUUCGAUUUUCGCCUUUCUCCAUGAGCGAGUCGAGUAGUUGGCCGGAUGCAUCGGAAGUUGGGUAUUCUUCCAAUAAUCAGAUGCCGAUUCUACUUUCGUCGAACAACAAGGGUGAGGGUUUCGAUGAAUUUAGCACUGUCGUGCAGGAAUCCUAUCCGCUACAGAGCACUGCGUCGGGCCCGGCUGGUGGGGAGAAAUAUUGUUCAUUAGAGGCUGACAGUGUUGGAAGUGAUGCCCAGCCUCUGCCGGCUCAUGUAAAUGACUCCUUACUGAAUGCGAUUGAGGAAGGAGUUAAUUUUCCAGAAACUCCUCUGUUGAAGGCAGCUGAAAUAAUAGGCGAUGCAGGGCACGAAGUUUCUGUAUGUGAAGUUGCUCGAAAGGAAGGUUAUGUGGAGUCAUUAGGAUGCGAUCAAGAAGCCUGUGUUUCCGAGAGUUCUGCCACAAGAGAUGCUACUUCAGAAGUUGCUGUUAAUGGUUCCGUGGAGUCUCCGUCUGUAGUGUCCGCAAACUGUGGGGCGAAGAGGGUAGGUGGCGUUCUUGCUAUGGCAAUGAGGAAAUAUGCUGUACCCAAGUCUUCAUGCUACCAUGGAGUCACUAGGUUGAAAUGGAGUGGGAAGUACGAAGCACACCUAUGGGAUAAAACCAGUCGAGUAGAAGGAAGUAGACGGAAGGGGAAGCAUGUUUAUUUAGGCAGCUAUGAGUCUGAGGAGAAGGCAGCUAGGGCACAUGAUCUUGCUGUUCUGAAAUAUUGGGGUUUAAGCCAAACCACGAAGCUAAAUUUUCCUGUCUCUGAUUAUGAGGACGAACUUGAGAUUAUGAAAACAAUGACUCAGGAUGAGUAUGUCGCUCAUGUAAAAAGGAAAAAUAGUUGUUUCUCGAGAGGUGCUUCUGCUUUCAGGGGGGUGACACGACGGAAAGAUGGGAAGUGGCAGGCGCGAAUUGGUAGGGUGGGUGAGAGCAGAGAUGUCAAGGACAUAUAUCUAGGAACUUUUGGCACAGAGGAAGAAGCUGCUGAGGCCUAUGAUAUUGCAGCAAUUGAGCUGCGAGGUGUGCAUGCUGUUACCAAUUUUGAUAUUAGCAACUACUGUGAGGGAUCUUUUAAGAGAAUGGAGGGACCGCCUUGCAAGCUACAGACAUAGUUCCUUCCAUCGGAGUCUGUGGGAUUGACGACAACAAAAUGAUGUAUUGUUUAUUUUACUGCAAGCCUGCAUGUGUGUGAAGCUUUUGAACUUCAGUGAGACUGAUCUUUGUCCUCCGAGGGAUGAUGACUUCUUCUUCAGAACUUGGAUUCUCCAUCAGAUCCUUCAAAAAAAAGGUAGGGAUGGUUGCUUCUUUAUUUUGACGUCCUAUCUGCCUGUAAGGUCAUGCUAGGCUUUUUGAGAAUGAAUUCUUGAUCAAGAACAGAGAGAGGAGCUAGACAAAAGUUAGUGCCUAUACUU